AUGGCCGCGCUGCCCCCCGUCGUCUCCCUCCUGCUGGUCCUCGUCGUCGCCGCCCCCGCGGCGCUCGCGCCGGUGGCCUCCGCGGUGCCCUUCAUCGUCCUGCACGGGAUCGGGGACCAGUGCGGGAACGACGGGAUCGCCUCCUUCACCGAUGAGCUCGCGGAGUGGUCGGGAUCCAAGGGAUACUGCAUGGAAAUUGGGAGAGGAUCGUGGGAUUCUUGGUUAAUGCCACUUCAAGAUCAGGCAAAUGUGGUUUGCAAGAAGGUAAAGGAAAUGGAAGAACUUCGUGAAGGUUACAGCAUAAUUGGCCUUUCUCAGGGGAACUUAAUUGGGCGGGCAGUAAUUGAGUACUGUGACGGUGGACCACCGGUAAAGAAUUUCAUCUCAAUUGGGGGUCCUCACGCUGGUACUGCUUCAGUGCCACUUUGUGGUUCUGGUUUUCUUUGCGUUCUUGUUGAUGCGCUGAUUCAACUGGAGAUAUAUUCAAACUAUGUGCAGGCACAUCUUGCCCCUAGCGGUUACCUAAAGAUUCCCACUGAUAUGACAGCUUAUUUGCAGGGUUGCAAAUUUCUUCCGAAGCUUAAUAAUGAGAUACCAAGUGAAAGAAACAUUACAUAUAAAGAAAGAUUUAGCAGCUUGGAGAACUUGGUAUUGAUCAUGUUUGAGGACGACGCAGUCUUGAUACCUCGGGAAACAGCAUGGUUUGGUUAUUAUCCUGAUGGUGCCUUUAAUCCAGUGCUGUCUCCUCAAGAGACAAAGCUAUAUACUGAAGACUGGAUCGGCUUGAGGACUUUGGAUGAGGCUGGGCGUGUUAAGUUUGUGUCGGUGCCCGGAGGUCACCUCCGCAUAUCAAGGAGCGACAUGAAGAAGUACAUAGUGCCUUAUUUGACACCGUCAUGUGGAUCAUCCAAGCAGAGUAUUCGUCGAAUCUUGUCAUACUGA
rnacentral:rRNA from 1 species